rnacentral:rRNA from 1 species
AUUGAACGCUGGCGGCAGGCCUAACACAUGCAAGUCGAGCGGAUGAAGGGAGCUUGCUCCUGGAUUCAGCGGCGGACGGGUGAGUAAUGCCUAGGAAUCUGCCUGGUAGUGGGGGAUAACGUCCGGAAACGGGCGCUAAUACCGCAUACGUCCUGAGGGAGAAAGUGGGGGAUCUUCGGACCUCACGCUAUCAGAUGAGCCUAGGUCGGAUUAGCUAGUUGGUGGGGUAAAGGCCUACCAAGGCGACGAUCCGUAACUGGUCUGAGAGGAUGAUCAGUCACACUGGAACUGGGACACGGUCCAGACUCCUACGGGAGGCAGCAUUGGGGAAUAUUGGACAAUGGGCGAAAGCCUGAUCCAGCCAUGCCGCGUGUGUGAAGAAGGUCUUCGGAUUUUAAAGCACUUUGAGAUGGGAGGAAGGGCAGUAAGUUAAUACCUUGCUGUUUUGACGUUACCAACAGAAUAAGCACCGGCUAACUUCGUG